rnacentral:rRNA from 1 species
AACGAACGCUGGCGGCAUGCUUAACACAUGCAAGUCGAACGAGACCUUCGGGCCUAUUGGCGCACGGCUGGUUGAGACCUGGGAAGCUACCCUUAGGUUCGCAAUAACUCCCCGUAAGGGGUGCUAAUACCGGUUGAUGUAUUCGGACCAAAGAUGUAUCGCCGUUGGAUGGGGCCGGGUUGGUUUAGCGGGUUGGUAGGGGAAAAGCCUACCAAUGCGACGUUGCAGGGCUGGUCUGAGAGCAGGAUCAGCUACACUGGGACUGAGACACGGCCCAGACUGGUACGCGAGGGAGCAGUAUGGAAUAUUGGACAAUGGGCGAAAGCCUGAUCCAGCAAUGCCGCGGGAGUGAUGAAGGCCUUAGGGUUGUAAAGCUCUUUGAGCCGGGAUGAGAAUGACAGUACCGGGUGAAGAAGCACCGGCUAACUACGUG